CCGGGGGUGCUUAMCAUGCAAGUCGAACGAUGAAGCCCUUCGGGGUGGAUUAGUGGCGAACGGGUGAGUAACACGUGGGCAAUCUGCCCUUCACUCUGGGACAAGCCCUGGAAACGGGGUCUAAUACCGGAUAACACCGGCUUCCGCAUGGGAGCUGGUUAAAAGCUCCGGCGGUGAAGGAUGAGCCCGCGGCCUAUCAGCUUGUUGGUGGGGUAAUGGCCUACCAAGGCGACGACGGGUAGCCGGCCUGAGAGGGCGACCGGCCACACUGGGACUGAGACACGGCCCAGACUCCUACGGGAGGCAGCAGUGGGGAAUAUUGCACAAUGGGCGAAAGCCUGAUGCAGCGACGCCGCGUGAGGGAUGACGGCCUUCGGGUUGUAAACCUCUUUCAGCAGGGAAGAAGCGAAAGUGACGGUACCUGCAGAAGAAGCGCCGGCUAACUACGUGCCAGCAGCCGCGGUAAUACGUAGGGCGCAAGCGUUGUCCGGAAUUAUUGGGCGUAAAGAGCUCGUAGGCGGCUUGUCACGUCGGGUGUGAAAGCCCGGGGCUUAACCCCGGGUCUGCAUCCGAUACGGGCAGGCUAGAGUGUGGUAGGGGAGAUCGGAAUUCCUGGUGUAGCGGUGAAAUGCGCAGAUAUCAGGAGGAACACCGGUGGCGAAGGCGGAUCUCUGGGCCAUUACUGACGCUGAGGAGCGAAAGCGUGGGGAGCGAACAGGAUUAGAUACCCUGGUAGUCCACGCCGUAAACGUUGGGAACUAGGUGUUGGCGACAUUCCACGUCGUCGGUGCCGCAGCUAACGCAUUAAGUUCCCCGCCUGGGGAGUACGGCCGCAAGGCUAAAACUCAAAGGAAUUGACGGGGGGGCCCGCACAAGCAGCGGAGCAUGUGGCUUAAUUCGACGCAACGCGAAGAACCUUACCAAGGCUUGACAUAUACCGGAAGCAUUAGAGAAUAGUGCCCCCCUUGUGGUCGGUAUACAGUGGAUGCAUGGACUGUCGUCAGCUUCGUUCUCGUGAGAAUGUUCGGAUUAAGUUCCCCCGGCA
rnacentral:rRNA from 1 species